UCCGAUUUGUCACCGGCAGUCUCCUAUGAGUCCCCGUCAUUACACGCUGGCAAUUAACGACAAGGGUUGCGCUCGUUGCGGGACUUACCCAACAUCUCACGACACGAGCUGACGACGGCCAUGCAGCACCUGUCACUAGGCUCCCGAAGGCACUCCACCGUUUCCGGCGGAUUCCUAGGAUGUCAAGCCUGGGUAAGGUUCUACGCGUAGCGUCAUAUUAAACCACAUCAUCCUCUGCUUGUGCGGGUCCCCGUCAAUUCCUUUGAGUUUUAAUCUUGCGACCGUACUCCCCAGGCGGUCAACUUCACGCGUUAGCUGCGGUACUGAGAAAUCGCUUCCCCAACACCUAGUUGACAUCGUUUAGGGCGUGGACUAC
rnacentral:misc_RNA from 1 species